rnacentral:rRNA from 1 species
GCCAGACUCCUACGGGAGGCAGCAGUGGGGGAUAUUGCACAAUGGGGGAAACCCUGAUGCAGCGACGCCGCGUGGGUGAAGAAGCGCCUCGGCGCAUAAAGCCCUAUCAGCAGGGAAGAAGAUGACAGUACCUGACUAAGAAGCCCCGGCUAACUACGUGCCAGCAGCCGCGGUAAUACGUAGGGGGCAAGCGUUAUCCGGAUUUACUGGGUGUAAAGGGAGCGCAGGUGGCAAGGCAAGCCAGAAGUGAAAACCCGGGGCUUAACCCCGCGGAUUGCUUUUGGAACUGUCUGGCUGGAGUGCAGGAGGGGCAGGCGGAAUUCCUGGUGUAGCGGUGAAAUGCGUAGAUAUCAGGAGGAACACCGGUGGCGAAGGCGGCCUGCUGGACUGUAACUGACACUGAGGCUCGAAAGCGUGGGGAGCAAACAGGAUUAGAUACCCUGGUAC